rnacentral:lncRNA from 1 species
AGACAUAUUACCAUGGGUUAUAGUGGGCUGUGUGUUAGGUAUAGAGACAUAUUACCAUGGGUUAUAGUGGGCUGUGUGUAGGGUAUAGAGACAUAUUACCAUGGGUUAUAGUGGGCUGUGUGUUGGGUAUAGAGACAUAUUACCAUGGGUUAUAGUGGGCUGUGUGUUGGGUAUAGAGACAUAUUACCAUGGGUUAUAGUGGGCUGUGUGUCAGGUAUAGAGACAUAUUACCAUGGGUUAUAGUGGGCUUUGUGUAGUGUAUAGACACAUAUUAACAUGGGUUAUAGUGGGCUUUGAGUCAUGAAUAAAGACAUAUUAACAUGGGUUAUAGUGGGCUGUGUGUUAGGUAUAGAGACAUUUUACCAUGGGUUAUAGUGGCCUGUGUGUUAGGUAUAGAGACGUAUUACCAUGGGUUAUAGUGGGCUGUGUAUUAGGUAUAGAGACAUAUUACCAUGGGUUAUAGUGAGCUGUGUAUUGGGUAUAGAGACAUAUUACCAUGGGUUAUAGUGGGCUGUGUGUUGGGUAUAGAGACAUAUUACCAUGGGUUAUAGUGGGCUGUGUGUUAGGUAUAGAGACAUAUUACCAUGGGUUAUAGUGGGCUGUGUGUUAGGUAUAGAGACAUAUUACCAUGGGUUAUAGUGGGCUGUGUGUCAGGUAUAGAGACAUAUUACCAUUGGUUAUAGUGGGCUGUGUGUUGGGUAUAGAGACAUAUUACUAUGGGUUAUAGUGGGCUUUGUGUUGGGUAUAGUGACAUAUUACCAUGGGUUAUAGUGGGCUGUGUAUUGGGUAUAGAGACAUAUUACCAAUGGGUUAUAGUGGGCUGUGUGUUGGGUAUAGAGCCAUAUUACCAUGGGUUAUAGUGGGCUGUGUGUUAGGUAUAGGGACAUAUUACCAUGGGUAAUAGUGGGCUGUGUGUUAGGUAUAGAAACAUAUUACCAUGGGUUAUAGUGGGUUAUGUGUUAGGUAUAGAGACAUAUUUCCAUUGCUUAUAGUGAGCUGUGUGUUGGGUAUAGAGACAUAUUACCAUGGGUUAUAGUGGGCUGUGUGUUAGGUAUAGAGACAUAUUACCAUGGGUUUUAGUGGGCUGUGUGUUAGGUAUAGAGACAUAUUACCAUGGGUUAUAGUGGGCUGUGUGUUGGGUAUAGAGACAUAUUACCAUGGGUUAUAGUGGGCUGUGUGUUAGGUAUAGAGACAUAUUACCAUGGGUUAUAGUGGGCUGUGUGUCAGGUAUAGAGACAUAUUACCAUGGGUUAUAGUGGGCUGUGUGUCGGGUAUAGAGACGUAUUACCAUGGGUUAUAGUGGGCUGUGUGUCAGGUAUAGAGACAUAUUACCAUGCGUUAUAGUGGGAUGUGUGUCGGGUAUAGAGACAUAUUAACAUGGGUUAUAGUAGGCUUUGUGUCGGGUAUAGAGACAUAUUAACAUGGGUUAUAGUGGGCUGUGUGUUAGGUAUAGAGCCAUAUUACCAUGGGUUAUAGUGGGCUGUGUGUUCGGUAUAGAGACAUAUUACCAUGGGUUAUUGUGGGCUGUGUGUCAGGUAUAGAGACAUAUUACGAUGGGUUAUAGUGGGCUGUGUGUUGGCAAUAGAGACAUAUUACCAUGGGUUAUAGUGGGCUGUGUGUUAGGUAUAGAGACAUAUUACCAAGGGUUAUAGUGGGCUGUGUGUCGGGUAUAGAGACAUAUUACCAUGGGUUAUAGUGGGCUGUGUGUUGGGAAUAGAGACAUAUUACCAUGGGUUAUAGUGGGCUGUGUGUUAGAUUUAGAGACAUAUUACCAUGGGUUAUAGUGGGCUGUGUGUCGGGUAUAGAGACAUAUUACCAUGGGUUAUAGUGGGCUGUGUGUUAGGUAUAGAGACAUAUUACCAUGGGUUAUAGUGGACUGUGUGUUGGGUAAAGAGGCAUACUACUGUCACGUCCUGACCAGCAGAGGGUGUAUUGUGUUAGUCUUGGUCAGGAUGUGGCAGGUGGUUUGUGUUUGUUAAAUGUUGUGUGGGUGAUUGGGACUUCCAAUUGAAGGCAGGUGUGUUGAGUUGCCUUUGAUUGGAAGUCCUCUAUAGGUGUGUGUGUUUUUCUUUGGGGUUGUGGGUGGUUGUUUGUGUGCACUGCGGUGGUUUGAGCCUGCCACACUGUUACCAUUGUAAGUACUGUUUAUUGUUUUUUUGUUCAAGUGGAUGCUUUACAUGUUUCCUUUAAUAAACAUGAGUGUCCACAAUCCCGCUGCGCCUUGGUCCUCUUCUCUACAUGACAACUUCUGUGACAACUACUAUGGGUUAUAGUGGGCUGUGUGUUGGGUAUAGAGACAUAUUACCAUGGUUUAUAGUGGGCUGUGUGUUAGGUACAGAGACAUAUUACCAUGGGUUAUAGUGGGCUGUGUGUUAGGUAUAGAGACAUAUUACCAUGGGUUAUAGUGGGCUGUGUGUUAGGCAUAGAGACAUAUUACCAUGGGUUAUAGUGGGCUGUGUGUUAGGUAUAGAGACAUAUUACCAUGGGUUAUAGUGGGCUGUGUUUUGGAUAUAGAGACAUUUUACCUUCACAUUGAUCUGGUACUCCCUGUAUAUAACUCCACAUUGAUCUGGUACUUCCUGUAUAUAGCUCCACAUUGAUCUGGUACUUCCUGUAUUUUGCUCCAUAUUUUUUUAUUUAUUUCACCUUUAUUUAACCAGGUAGGCAAGUUGAGAACAAGUUCUCAUUUACAAUUCCGACCUGGCCAAGAUAAAGCAAAGCAGUUCGACAACAUACAAAAACACAGAGUUACACAUGGAGUAAAACAACAUACAAUCAAUGAUACAGUAGACAAAAAUAAGACUAUAUACAAUGUGAGCAAAUUAUGUGAGAUAAGGGAGGUAAAGGCAAAAAAGGCCAUGGUGGCAAAGUAAAUAAAGUAUACCAUGUAAAACACUGGAAUGGUAGAUUUAUAAUUUUAAGAAAGUUCAAAGUUAAAAUAUAAAUAAUAUGGUGCAAAGGAGCAAAAUAAUAAAUAAAAUAAAUAAAUACAGUAGGGGUAGUAGUUUGGGCGAAAUUAUAGAUGGGCUAUGUACAGGUGCAGUGAUCUGGGAGCUGCUCUGAUAGCUGGUGCUUAAAGCUAGUGAGGGAGAUAAGUGUUUCCAGUUUCAGAGAUUUUUGUAGUUCGUUCCAGUCAUUGGCAGCAGAGAACUGGAAGGAGAGACGACCAAAGGAGGAGUUGGCUUUAGGGGUGACCAGAGAGAUAUACCUGCUGGAGCGCGUGCUACAGGUGGGUGCUGCUAUGGUGACCAGUGAGCGGAGAUAAGGGGGGACUUUACCUAGCAGGGUCUUGUAGAUGACCUGGAGCCAAUGUGUUUGGCGACGAUUAUGAAGCGA